rnacentral:rRNA from 1 species
UACAGAGGUCCCAAGCGUUGUUCGGAUUUACUGGGCGUAAAGGGUGCGUAGGCGGCUCAGAAAGUAGGGUGUGAAAGCCCUCGGCUCAACCGAGGAAUUGCGCUCUAAACUACUGUGCUUGAGGGACCUAGAGGUGAGCGGAACUGAUGGUGGAGCGGUGAAAUGCGUUGAUAUCAUCAGGAACACCGGAGGCGAAGGCGGCUCACUGGGGGUCUUCUGACGCUGAGGAACGAAAGCGUGGGUAGCAAACGGG